CCUACGGGUGGCAGCAGUGGGGAAUAUUGCGCAAUGGGCGAAAGCCUGACGCAGCGACGCCGCGUGAGGGAUGAAGGUCUUCGGAUCGUAAACCUCUGUCAGCAGGGAAGAACGGUCACUGUGCUAAUCAGCAGUGAAUUGACGGUACCUGCAAAGGAAGCACCGGCUAACUCCGUGCCAGCAGCCGCGGUAAUACGGAGGGUGCGAGCGUUACUCGGAAUUAAUGGGCGUAAAGCGCUCGUAGGCGGUAUGUCAAGUCAAGGGUGAAAUCCCCGCGCUCAACGUGGGAACUGCCUUUGAAACUAGCAAACUGGAGUGUGUGAGAGGAUAGUGGAAGUCCAGGUGUAGGAGUGAAAUCCGUAGAUAUCUGGAGGAACAUCAGUGGAGAAGGCGACUAUCUGGCACAUAACUGACGCUGAGGAGCGAAAGCGUGGGUAGCAAACAGGAUUAGUUACCCCUGUAGUC
rnacentral:rRNA from 1 species